AUACGGAGGGUGCAAGCGUUACUCGGAAUUACUGGGCGUAAAGGACGCGUAGGCGGUUUAGAAAGUCAGAUGUGAAAGCCUAUGGCUUAACCAUAGAACUGCAUUUGAAACUUCCAAACUAGAGUGGGGGAGAGGUCAGUGGAUUUAGUGGUGUAGGGGUAAAAUCCGUAGAGAUCACUAGGAAUACUCAUUGCGAAGGCGACUGACUGGAACUUAACUGACGCUGAGGCGUGAAAGCGUGGGGAGCAAACAGGAGUAGAAACCCCAGUAGUCC
rnacentral:rRNA from 1 species